UACGAAGGGGGCUAGCGUUGCUCGGAAUUACUGGGCGUAAAGCGCACGUAGGCGGCUUUCUCGGUCGGGGGUGAAAUCCUGGAGCUCAACUCCAGAACUGCCUUCGAUACUGGAGAGCUUGAGUCCGGGAGAGGUGAGUGGAACUGCGAGUGUAGAGGUGAAAUUCGUAGAUAUUCGCAAGAACACCAGUGGCGAAGGCGGCUCACUGGCCCGGUACUGACGCUGAGGUGCGAAAGCGUGGGGAGCAAACAGG
rnacentral:rRNA from 1 species